rnacentral:rRNA from 1 species
ACGAGAUGAGCUUGUAUCUGAUUAGCUAGUUGGUGAGGUAACGGCCCACCAAGGCUACGAUCAGUAGCUGGUCUGAGAGGAUGAUCAGCCACAUUGGAACUGAGACACGGUCCAG